UGCAGAAUCCCGUGAAUCAUCGAGUCUUUGAACGCAAGUUGCGCCCGAGGCCUCGGCCGAGGGCACGUCUGCCUGGGCGACGCAU
rnacentral:rRNA from 5 species